UUUGCACGAAGACACGAAGGGUUUUCGUGCAAAGAUAAAGCGAGCGAUUUUUGCCCGUCCGAAUACUCCAUGUGAAGCAUUUUUUGAAAAAGAUUUGACCGAACCUUUGCUUCAGAGGUUUCCUACAUAUCCUGGGCUGAAACAGGAAUCAGGUCAAUGUAGUUCGGGAAAUUUUGGUAGCUGGGACUACCGUGCGGCUGUAGUGUUUGCUGUUGUUGUGCGCUGCUGUAUGCUGCUGUAGGAUGCUACUGCUCAACCGAUCCCCCUAUUACAUUGCUCUAAAAGGAAAACAAGAAGCUAAGCUAAACUGAGGAUCCUGAGAUCUCAUCCAUCUUCAACUUGUUCUUGCUGCCUUGCUUUCUUGUCGGCUAACGUUUUCCUCUGACGCCUUUAUUUUGUGAACUUGGAGAUGAUGCCGGUCCUUCACCUUUUCUGAAUGUCAGUUCUCAUCACUUUGCUUGAUCUGCUGGGGAUACGACUUCCUUCUUUAAAUCUUCCAAUGGUUUCUUCAGUGGCAUGGCUUUUCAUCGGAAUUGUUAUACUGGGCAUGCUACAACGUUCCCAAACUACUUCUUUUGAGACGCGUUCCUUUUUCCUUUUGAAUUGCGCGCUUGCCUCUGCAGUUGUCUGCUUCUUGGUGCUGGGGAUUUCAUUGUUUCCCGUUUGGGGAUCUCUGUUGUACCCUUCCGUCUUCAGGUGGGGCGACUGAUUCCAAAAUCUAGAGCUGAAUGUAUUCCCGCAUUAUACUGGUGGGCGACCUAGAACUUAAGAGUAUUCCCGCAUUAUACUGGUGGGCGACCUAGAACUUAAAAGUAUUCCCGCAUUAUACUGGUGGGCGACCUAGAACUUAAAUGUAUUCCCGCAUUAUACUGGUGGGCG
rnacentral:lncRNA from 1 species